rnacentral:rRNA from 1 species
AUUGAACGCUGGCGGCAGGCCUAACACAUGCAAGUCGAGCGGAUGAAGUGAGCUUGCUCCUGGAUUCAGCGGCGGACGGGUGAGUAAUGCCUAUGAAUCUGCCUGGUGGUGGGGGAUAACGUCCGGAAACGGGCGCUAAUACCGCAUACGUCCUGAGGGAGAAAGUGGGUGAUCUUCGGACCUCACGCUAUCAGAUGAGCCUAGGUCGGAUUAGCUAGUUGGUGGGGUAAAGGCCUACCAAGGCGACGAUCCGUAACUGGUCUGAGAGGAUGAUCAGUCACACUGGAACUGAGACACGGUCCAGACUCCUACGGGAGGCAGCAGUGGGGAAUAUUGGACAAUGGGCGAAAGCCUGAUCCAGCCAUGCCGCGUGUGUGAAGAAGGUCUUCGGAUUGUAAAGCACUUUAAGUUGGGAGGAAGGGCAGUAAGUUAAUACCUUGCUGUUUUGACGUUACCAACAGAAUAAGCACCGGCUAACUUCGUG